UGUCUGGUGGGUAGUUUGACUGGGGCGGUCUCCUCCUAAAGAGUAACGGAGGAGCACGAAGGUUGGCUAAUCCUGGUCGGACAUCAGGAGGUUAGUGCAAUGGCAUAAGCCAGCUUGACUGCGAGCGUGACGGCGCGAGCAGGUGCGAAAGCAGGUCAUAGUGAUCCGGUGGUUCUGAAUGGAAGGGCCAUCGCUCAACGGAUAAAAGGUACUCCGGGGAUAACAGGCUGAUACCGCCCAAGAGUUCAUAUCGACGGCGGUGUUUGGCACCUCGAUGUCGGCUCAUCACAUCCUGGGGCUGAAGUAGGUCCCAAGGGUAUGGCUGUUCGCCAUUUAAAGUGGUACGCGAGCUGGGUUUAGAACGUCGUGAGACAGUUCGGUCCCUAUCUGCCGUGGGCGCUGGAGAACUGAGGGGGGCUGCUCCUAGUACGAGAGGACCGGAGUGGACGCAUCACUGGUGUUCGGGUUGUCAUGCCAAUGGCACUGCCCGGUAGCUAAAUGCGGAAGAGAUAAGUGCUGAAAGCAUCUAAGCACGAAACUUGCCCCGAGAUGAGUUCUCCCUGAGACUUUAGGUCUCCUGAAGGAACGUUGAAGACGACGACGUUGAUAGGCCGGGUGUGUAAGCGCAGCGAUGCGUUGAGCUAACCGGUACUAAUGAACCGUGAGGCUUAACCUUACA
rnacentral:rRNA from 1 species